rnacentral:rRNA from 1 species
AUUGAACGCUGGCGGCAGGCCUAACACAUGCAAGUCGAGCGGAUGAAGGGAGCUUGCUCCUGGAUUCAGCGGCGGACGGGUGAGUAAUGCCUAGGAAUCUGCCUGGUAGUGGGGGUAACCUUCGGAAACGGGCGGCAAUUCCCCAUACGGUCCUAAGGAGGAAGGUGGGGAUCUUUCGAACUUAAGGUUACAGAUGGACCUAGGUCGGAUUAGCUAGUUGGUGGGGUAAAGGCCUACCCAGGCGACGAUCCGUAACUGGUCUGAGAGGAUGAUCAGUCACACUGGAACUGAGACACGGUCCAGACUCCUACGGGAGGCAGCAGUGGGGAAUAUUGGACAAUGGGCGAAAGCCUGAUCCAGCCAUGCCGCGUGUGUGAAGAAGGUCUUCGGAUUGUAAAGCACUUUAAGUUGGGAGGAAGGGCAGUAAGUUAAUACCUUGCUGUUUUGACGUUACCAACAGAAUAAGCACCGGCUAACUUCGUG